UGGUCGGGAGGUGCCCUUUGGGACGGGCACCACGAAUUGGCCGAAACUGAUAUCCGUUCUCAGAUGAGAGAAUGCCGAGACCCACCGGCGUUCUG
ncrna:Thalassobium sp. R2A62 Rhodo-rpoB RNA